CUCAAGCAGAGGGCAGCUGGAGAACGCCGCUUCGGAUUGGUUGAUGGGUGGGCGGAUCGCUUCCUUACUGAGCUCGAAGGUGGGGCGUCUCUGUGUUUUGCUGUUUGCUCCUGGGCCGAGGGUAUUUGAAAAUUCCUGCUGGGAAGGGUAUUGGCAUAAAAGGGCACGAGCAAAUACUGUGUAGUCUUACUCAGAAUGUUUUUGCCCUACCUCUCAGCACCUCUGUUUGCCAUUUUUGUUUAUAAUUGUCGACGGUUAUGAAUAUCCUUAAACCGGAUCAGUUCCACCAUGAAGCCAGAUAAAUAUGUAGCAACCCAGUAUAGCAAACGAGAUGUCCCAGAAAACCAAAUGAACGAACUACAUUGUGUUUCAGGGGUCACUCGGUAGCAUUCUUUUGUUAAAAGAAUUUUACUUAAAUAUGUGACUUGACAGGACCUUGUGUGAACGUUGGGGGUUUUGUUGUGUAGAAUGAAGUUACCACUUCAAAGACGGUUAAUAUUCUGAUCAUGGGAUCUCAAAAUCCCCACAACUGAAGAGUGCUAUUUAAAAUUUCUCCCCCACUCCUCAAAAUAAAAAGUAAGAUUUGGUUUUGCCCUUAUAGGGCAUCAGUUUCAUGUACCUUUACAUAAAUGCUUGAGAAGAGAAAAAUAACGGAAGUUUUACAAUACAAUGUUUGGAUGAUCAAAAUAAGUUUGGAGUUGCUUCCCACUUAGAACUUACAAAGUAUUAGAAAUCUGUUUACAGUGCAAUGAAAUUCUGCUGUGAGGAACUGGUUGGUUAUUAGACAAAUAAGCAAAUUUAUUGGCUUUGUUUUCCUCAUCUAUAAAAAGAUUCUGUAUUUGGAUCUCCAAGAGCUCUUCUAGCCCUGAGAUUUUUGUAAUGUAAUUUAUUGUCAACAGAUGACCCAGCACUAAGACACUAGUGUUAAGUAUACAUCUUCCUCUCUUGCCUCUCUUUUAUCUAACUUUCCCCCAGCAACUACAAAAUAAAUAAUCAAGUGAGGCGUAAGAACUUGGGACCAAAUUGGCCAGAAACAAGCUAGAUUGCUGCUUGAAAAAACUUCUUCUUAUGCAUAUUUUUGGCAUGUACAGAUGGCAUUCAGCUUGCUUGAGGAAUGGAUUAUCAUAAAGAAGCCCAGCCUCUGGGAACCAGAGAUGGGCAAAGCAGGGAGACACUUGGAGGUGAAGUGGAGAUAGCCCUGUUUUUGGAGGCAAAUCAAACUAGAUGUACAGCCUGGCCCUGUCAUUUACUGGUUGUGUGACUUUGGACAAGUUAUUUCUGACACUGAGUUUUCUCACUCGUAAGACAAGGGUAAUGAUGACUAUAUUGCCAAAUUUUUGUGAGGAUAGAGAUUAUGUACAUAGUGUGCUCUUCACAUAAUUAUCACUUAGUGUGUGGCUAUUAUUCUUACCAGGGAAGUCAGAGUGCAAAUUGGUGUGCAAAGGCCUUCUCAGAGGUGUCUCGUGACACCUCACUCAAGGAUGUAAAUUUGGUAAGCCCUUCCUUACCCACUAAAGACAUGCAAAGAACCUUUAAAAGUAACCUUUUUAAAUGUUUGUCAAUGAUGAAUGGAUAAAUAAUCAUUCUUUGCUGCUUCUAGCUUCUGGUGACUGCCAGCAUUCCUUGACUUGUGACUUCAUCACUUCAAUCUUCAAGGAAGAUCAGUAUCUUGAAAUCUCUCUCUACUCUGUCUUCACAUUGCCUUUCUCCUCUGUGUGUAGAAUCUUCUCUGCCUCCCUCUUAAGGGAUAGAUGUAAUUGCAUUAUGGGCCUACUCCUAUAAUCCAGGAUAAUCUCCCCGUAUCAAGACAAUGAACUUAAUCAUAGAUGCUCAAUUGAAUCAUAGAUUCUUAACUUAAUCAUGGAUCCUUAACUGAAUCGUUAGUUUCUGUUAAGAAUCUUAGCUGUGAAGACUUUGCCACGUAAGGUAACAUUUACGGGUUCCAGGUUUUAUGACCUGAUAUCUUUGGACACCAUUGUUUAGUUGACUAUAGAGAAUAAGAGAAGAUAAAAGUGAGGACUAGCAGGGACAAGAGAAUGAGAGAGGACUCAAGCACAUCUGCUCAGUUUCUCCUCCAAGUUUGUCAGUCAGGUAAGUCACUUCUUGGGGAAGAAUAAGUGAGAGGUGAGAGGGAGUAGCUAGAAGUGUUCUUGCAUUGUGGCUUUCAAACACUUUUUGACCAUGACUCUUCAUAAGAAAUAUAUUUUACAUUAUCACUCAGGGAACAAAUACAUAACUGAACACACACACACACUUUGAAUUUAAUGUGUAUUUAAACUGAAUUUAAUUUUUUUGAGACAAUAGUUACCCGUAUUUCAUGAAAUGCAUGCUGGUCUUUUAUGUCCCCUCCCCUCCCCCCCACAAAAUGCUAGGAACUCCAUUAAGUUUAUAGCCCACUAAUUGGUCAUGAUCUGAAGUUUGGAAAACAUCACUCCAUAAAAAUCCACACUUGGAAAUAUGAUGCCAGGCAAAUAAGAAUUGUUUUUUUUUUUUUUCCUUAAAACCUUUGUUCCAGGGGCCAGCCCCGUGUCUGAGUGGUUAAGUUCGCAUGCUCUGCUUUGGUGUCCCAGAGUUUCUUCCGUUCAGAUCCUAGAUCCUUUCUCUACCAUUUUCCAUUCUGCUCUGUGUCCCAGAGGAGUACAGGAGGUUAGGAGGCUGACUUUAACAGACUGCAUCAAUGGGCUCUCUUGUCGUCUGGCUUGGAGUUCAGUGAUGUCUGAGAUCAGAAGAUCAGAAAACAGGAGGAGAGUGAGUUCAUGGUCUUCAUUUCUCCAUCUUCCUUCCUGUUGGUUGCCCUAGGCUGCCCAAGUUUGUCCACUGAAGAAUACAGUUCCUGCUGUGUGUGUGUUCAGCCGCAGAGAGAAGAAGCUGCCCAAGAAUGGAAAGGAAGAAAUAUAUCACAUCAUCUGUCUGUCCACAAGCUUUCCUUGGGGCUUAUGAAGAUUUCCUCGGGGCAGUGAUUCUUUUUCACCCCUUUGAAUUCAGAAGGAUGGCACAGACAUCUAAAAAACACCACCACCUCCUUCAUUGGACCACAAGGAAGGCCGUUUUGGAAAAGUAAUGGAAUCCAGUCAACUUAACAUUGUUGAUCUCCAAGGACCGUUGAAAAUUAUAAAACUUUCUGUGGAACUCUGACAUGCCAGAAGCUGCUAGAAAAAGCAGUUUGAUAUUCAGAACCUCAUCAAGAGCUUCUCCUCAUCUUUGGAUAGAGACCAAAAUGAUACUUUCAAUCAGCUGGUCCCUCUUCUCAGGUGUAGAUCACCUAUUACCACUUCACCUGUUUUGAUUCUCUGAUGAGGAAAGUCCCAGGACUUAUCAGCUGGGAUAGGCCUCAUUCACAAGACACCUCUGUAUUUGGAAGAAAGCCUGACAGGUUUCUCCGGAAAAGUGGCCAUCCAUGGAAUGAAUGAAAUGUUCCCUUUCUAUUCCACUAGCAAAAAGACCUCAGGAAGAGUGAUCCUUACCCCACCAUCAAGUCACUUAUGACUGAUUCUUACUUCUGAUUCCACCAAGAUUAAACCAGAGACUUACAGAGGAGCUGGCAAACCUUUUCUGUAAGUAGCCAUUAGUAAAUACAAUAGGCUUUGUGGGUCAUACCAUGUGUUAGUUUGCUAGGGCAGUUGUGCCAAAAUCUGCAUGGCUUAAACAAUGGAAAUUUGUUGUCUCCCAAUUCUGGAGGCUAGAAUUCUGAGAUCAAGGUGGGUCAAUUCCUUCUGAGAGCUACAAGACUUUCUUCCAUGCCUUUCUUCUAGCUUCUAGUGGUUUGCUGGCAAUCUGGCAUUCCUUGGCUGAUUCACCCCAUCUCUGCUUUCAUGUCCAUGUGGCAUUCUCCCUGGGUGCAUGUCUGUGUCCAAAUUAGUCCAAACUGAUUACAUUUGCAAUGAUCCUGUUUCUCCAAAUAAGUUUACCUUCUGAGGUGCUAGGGGUUAGAACUUCAACAUAUGGAUUUGCGGGGAAGGGGAAGACAUAGUCCAACCUAUAACAUAUCUGUUUCUCCAACUACUCAGUUCAGCCCUUGUAGUGCAAAAGCAGUCAUAGAAAAUACGUAAACCGGUGGACAUGGCUGUGUCACAGUAAAGCUUUACCUGGGAAACCAGGUGGCAGGCCUGCAGGCCGUAGUUUGCAGAUGCCAGCCUUAGAGUGUCUCUGAUCCUUUGUGAAUAUGAAAGAAAACAGGAAAAGAUUUGGCACUUGGCAAAAAAGAAAAGAAAAACUUUGCAAGUUUUGGGAAUACCUACUUCACAUAUUGUAUUCUAGUCACAAUGUUUUACAUUUAGCUUUAAUAUGUCUCAUGUUUACGUUCAGAUAUAAUCUGAGUUAGUAUACAAAGCUUCAGCUAAGCAAAUUGAUAUAAGUUGUAUAACGGCGACUCUAAGUGAUCUUCAUACUCCUUGUCUUUGGGCCAUUACUAAAUUCUAGAAUGACGGAGAAAUAGACUUUUCCGUUUAACAUUAUGCUGUGUGCUUUGAUUUUUAGUAUGAAUGUGUCCAAAACAUUAAUAAUUAUUAAUGAUUUUUAAUCCCUUUAGAAAUAUAUGUGUAUUUAUCCCCAUGAAUAUAUAUGUGUAUUCCUUUCCAUAUAACUAAUAUUUCUGGAGUGCCUACAGACACUGUAGUAGGCUGUGUACAACGAGUCCUGGACAAGACAGAAACAUUAUCUCUAGGGAUUUACUCUGUCCUGGAGGAUGCAUAUAAAGGAAAGAGAUAAUAUAGUAACAUAUAUUCAAACACCAUCCAGAGAGUGCCAUCUAUACAUGCCAUGCAGGGGGAAUUGCUUUGUUCUGCUCGAGUCCAUAUACAUGCAUAUAUAUGUGAAUCUUGCGUCUUCACUUAUGGAACCAAAUUAGAGAGUUCUGUACAGGAUCAUAGAAGUCAAAGGGCUGAAUAAAGCUUCCACAGAAAGCUUGAAAGUUGACUAUGCAGUAAAGAAAAGGUAUCAAUCAGGCUCAUACUAUAUAUUUUGUGACAGUAGCAGAGAUCAUGCUCCCACUUAUAUUAAAACAUAGACUGGGCUUAUUAACGUCCUUCUAUAGUAAAAGGCUAGGCCUCUGGAAAACCCUGGAACUCUUCCUCCACUUGGUUGUGAAGGUAGACAGAGUCAGAGGCCAGCAUCUAGUUUAAAUUUUGAGGGAACAGGUGUACAAGUAGUGAGUGGUCUUAUUGAGGAUGAAAUGAACCCUCUCACAGGUAUCGGUAAUAGACGUUGGGGGCUCAUUCAUCUUCAGCAGAGGUGCCCCACGAAAUCGCUUACGUGGAGUGCCCCAAAAUUGGCCUUGUAUUUAGGAUCUGAAAGAAAAUACCCACUGGAGUGUACCAAUUAUAAAAUAGGUCAAAUUUAGGGGCCAGAAAAGUGGACCAGAUGCCUUUAAUCAGGUUUGUUACCUAAAAGGUUGUCAGUUCAGCCAGAGAUUGUUCAGAGAAAAUAUCAGCUAUAAUGACGUAUUUAUAUAUAUAUAAAGUACUAUAUGACCUGAAAUGUCAGGUGUAUGUGGCUUUAAUAAUUUUAACCAUUUAGGCCCAAAGAAAACUUCUAAAAGUCAUAAUUAAAAUGCAGUUGUUCUCUUUAUAAUUAUGGAAACACCACCACAUUCUGACUACUACACUGGUGACCUUCAAUAAUACAAGCCGAAAUCUGCCUUGACGCAUCCUGUGGAUUUCAUAACUGCAUGUAAUAGACUUUGCAUUGCUUGAAAUGAGAUUUGAGCUCCAGGAAUAAAACUGGAAUUUAUUCUACAAAUAAAACAGUAAAGCAUUCCUAAAUUUUCUUUUAAUCUGGAAAUACUUUUAAUCUCUUGGAUUCCUUGGUCUAUAGUUUAGAAGCAACUGUCCUCUCCUCAGAAUCUUGUACACAUUUGUUUGGAUAUGAGGCAGUUUCUCUCUUUUCCUUCUAACUUUCACUAAAAUAAAGAGAAGGGCCUUUCACCUUCCCACAGAACUAGAAAAAAAGGAGGGAACGAAAUGGGAUUUUCUUCUCAAUACUUUGCAAACUUUAACCAAGAAAUGCAGCACCACAACACGUCAAUGCAGGAUAAUGAUAAUCUUAAUAAUGGUGGUGACGAUGAUGAUCAUGAAUUAGACAAUAUAUUUCUCUUCUUAUUCGAAGUGUGAAAACUGAAGCAAAAUGAUGAAGUGCCUUUCCCAAGAUCAGUGGCUCCACAAUUAGAACUCGGGCUUUUCCUUCCUUCACACCUCUUCUGCGGAGGAGAACAAAUAUCGCUAAUGUUCGUCCUCACCAGGAGAAACCCACACUGGCCCAUUCAAUGGCCAAUUAGAAUAAAUUGUGAAUUAGGACAAAUAUGACAAGUAAUACAAAAAUCAAAUGCUCGCUAAAGAAAAGGAACAAAAAACCUGAAUAAAUAAGCUUAACGGUCCAUUGUUUGUGGGGAAAAUGAUGAAAUUAUCAUCAAAAUAUUCUAUGAAUUGAGAAUGAAGAUAAAUUUUUAUGUGGAAAGAUUUUACAAAAAAAAAAAAAAAGCUACCUAGAAAAG